CGCUAGUGGCGCUCUUCUUGGAGACGGUGCCAUCUGGUAGAGACACUCCUCCACGACAUGAGGGCAAAGGUAAAUUUUAUCCACUCAAAACGAUUGUUUUGUAGGCAUCUUCCUUGUUGCUAUGCUAGUUAGCUUUAAGUGAUUUGGCUGGCUAGCCUGUUAACUGCGACAUAACUGCACGCAUUUUGUAGUUAGCCACCUGCUACAUUUUAAAUACAUUGAUUAUCGCGUUCGGUGCAUAGGCUUGUAGUAAUUUCUAAGACAACAUAAAAUCUUUGACGUUUGUAUAGUUGGAUAAUGCAAUGAAGAGCUUUGUCAUUCUACGAUAGCUUUUUCACGCGCAUUUUUUUUCUCUCUAGAAAUACUGCACCAAACGUUUUGGCUCCCGAGUGUCAUAGCGGUCUAGGGCACUGUUUUUAUUGGUCACAUACACAUGGUUAGCGUGUGUUAUUGGCGAGUAUAGCGAAAUGCUUGUUUCUAGUUCCAACAGUGCAGCAGUAUCUAACAAUUCUCGAAUUCAAUUACCUACUACACCCAAAUCUAAGUAAAAUAAUUAUAUAUAGAUGAGUAAUGAGAGCGGCUUAGGCAUGAUGCAAAAUAUGGUAUAAAUGUAUACAUGAGAUUAGUAAUGUUCACACAUCUUGCAUGUGACCAAUAAAAUGUGAUUUAUCAUUUUAUUAGUAUCCAAGUCUGUACGUAGGCAGCAGCCUCUAGUGAUGGCUGUUUAAGUCUGUUUGGCUUGAGAGAAGCUGUUUUUCACUCACUCAGUUCAUGCUUUGAUGCACCUUUACUGACCUCAUCUCAGUGAUUGGGAGUCAAAUGGAGCGGCUCAAUGGCCCAGCGUCGUCCAGGGUAGGCAGUCAUUGUAAUUAAGAAUUUGUUCUCAACUGACUUGCUUACUUAAAUAAAGGUUACAUUUAAUUAGUCUUGGUCGUGCAGUUUUACACCCUACUAAGGUCCUCGGUGAAAACAUCACAUUAAUGACCACUAAAGUCUAUCAUCUGGGUAAUUCAGGCUGUUUUGAAGUGUACACUGGAUAUUGUCAAGAUUAUGGUGUUUUCAGGUUCAGUUUCUAAGGGAGUAUGUGAGUGCACUUGUUCGUUUAGCCAAAGCCUUAAUAUUAGUUAUGUUGGCCAAUGGAACUAGCUAGCCAAGUAUUUAACUGCAGACAACUCAUAGAAAUGGGGGUGUCACAAAGUAAUUUAAUUCUGUAGUGAACACGUGGACAUGCCUUGUCAGAUUAUCACCUGUCCUGGUUCAUUACUGUAGCCAACUAUUGUGCAAUUCUAGCUAGCUUGUUGCCAUAUUUUCAGGCCCCUUACUAUAUGGGUGGGUGUGUAGGAUGGCAAUAUCCCUUCUAGACCUGAGCAUAUGUUGGUGGAACUGUAUUGACAGCAAUUUGCUGUAAAUGCCAGAUGGGUGUUGCCAACCGCGCUUCUGAAAAUUGAUCAGGGUUCAGCCAUUUGUUCUAACACUCAUCUAAAAGUAGCUAAUGUUACAUCUAACAUUGGCCUCUGUUCUCUCUUGCAGUGGAGAAAGAAGCGUAUGCGCAGGCUGAAGCGCAAGAGGCGAAAGAUGAGGCAGAGGUCCAAGUAGAAUGCCUCCCCAUACAACACCAUGGCUGUGACCCUUCUGGACACAACACGGGACCAAGGAUCUCAUGCUUAAAGUCUGAUCUGAGAUGUGCCAUCCAUGCCAAUGAGAGGCUGUAAAGAGACAGUGCUACUGUUGUCUUGGUCAAGAGACCACCUGCCUGGGAAAAUUAUGGGGACAUUCUGGAUUCUCUACUCUUCUACCAAACCUAUCCUACUCCAUUGCUUUUGUUUAUACUUUCCCAAUAAAGUUUUUGGUUUAAAGUUGUCUUUGUUGCUUCUGAAACAGGGUCCAGAAUGUAAUUCCUACCAUGCUGCACCCAUUUACCAUUAUUGCUGACAAGAGUUCAGUUCUGGUGAGUAGUCAUAUCAAACAUUCUUAUAGGUAGCCCAUAUGUUGUGAUUCCCUUAAAACCAGUUUAGGGGUUAUCAGUAUGAUAAGGUUAUGCUGCAUGCCUUCUCGCAGCUGUUGUGUCACUGUUGUGAGGCGUGCAUGGACUGCUCCAGACGGGGGCCAUCUGGAGCACGGUCUCCUGAGUGGUGCAUCUCAGUGCUAGAUGCCCCAGUUUGGUCCCGGGCUGUAUCUCAACUGAUUGGGAGUCCAAUAGGACUAUCACAGCAACACGUGCAACUUAGUUUUCUAGGUAAAUUUACUGUGAACAUUCUCAUUUCAAACAAUGACCUGGGGGAUUAAUGAGCCAAACGGAAGCUGGGGAUGAUUAGGUGGUAAUGGUAUGAGGACUAGAUUGGGUAUUUAGCCAGGACACUGGGUUUAACGCCUGUUAUAAUUGUCAUGGGAUCUUUAGUGGCCAAAGGUCGGACACCUGUUUUAAUGUCCCAUCUGGUGGUCCCCAAUCACCGCCCUGGAGCAUUGAUAUCUUGGUUGACGUAGUUUCCCUGGAUACCUGGCUGUCACUAAGGGCAAUUCUGUGGGGGAAAACCAUUUAAUUUAACGUCAUGUAUAGAGUAUUGUAGCCAAUGGUUUCUAUUUAAUGCUAUGUAAACAUAUCUAUGUAGGUCUUCAUUUUGUUAUUAAGUUGACGUGAAAAAUAAAUUAAACCGCACCCCAAAUGGUCAAAAACAAACAGGUUUACCCUGGAGGCAAAACGGUUUGAUCUCUCUGGCACUGUCUUACAGGCUGUUCAAAUAGAUGUCAGCCAAGCAUACUCUGUUUUUAAACAAGUGAGAUUUGGAUUUGAAAAUGGGUGGCCUAUUGUAGGACAUGUGUUUUUCCCCAUUACAAAUGCAUGUUGGACUAUUAAUCUGUUUCUAAAUUACUAAUUUACUAGUGUAAACCCACUGAAGAAAAAUACAGGACAGUCAACAGCCUACAAUAACGAAGCUUCUCCAAAACGUGUGCGUAAUACUCAUAGUUCUACAUUAUACCAGGUGUCAACCGAGGUAAUGGUCGUGUUGCUGUAUCAAAUACGUAGGGUACCCAACUAUCACGUUUAUUCAUUGGCCUCCAGUAGAUAUACAGGCAAUUCCAGUGGUGUAAAAAUACUUUAAAGUACUACUUAAGUAGUUUUUGGGGCAUCUGUACUUUACUAUUUAUAUUUUUGACAACUUUUACUCCACUACAUUCCUAAAGAAAAUAAUGUACUUUCUACUCCAUACAUUUUCCCUCACACCUAAAAGUACUCGUUACAUUUUGAAUGCUUAGUAGGACAGGAAAAUGGUCUAAUUCAUACACUUAAAGAGAAAAUCCCAGGUUAUACCUACUGCAUCUGAUCUGGCGGACUCACUAAACACAAAUGCUUUGUUUGUAAAUUAUUUCUGAGUGUUGGAGUGUGCCCCUGGCUAUCCGUAAAUUUAAAAAACAAGAACAUCGUGCCAUCUGGUUUGACUUUUGAUACUUAAGUAUAUUUUAGCAAUAACAUAUACUUUUGAUACUUAAGUUUUUGGGGCGGCAGGUAGCCUGGUGGUUAGAGCGUUGGGACAGUAACUGAAAGGUUGUUGGAUCAAAUCCUCGAGUUGAGAAGGUAAAAAUCUGUCGUUCUUCCCCUGAGCAAGGCAGUUAACCCACUGUUCCUUGGUAAACUUGUUCUGACUUGCUUUGUUAAAUAAAAGUAUAUUUAAAACCAAAUACUUAUUUUAUUUUGCUCAAGUUGCAUUUUACUAGGUGACUUUUACUUGAGUCAUUUUCUAUUAAGGUAUCAUUACUUUUACUCAAGUAUGACAAUUGGGUACCUUUUCCUCCACUGGGCAAUUCUUAGUCGGAAAGCUAUUGGUUUAUGUAAGGGAACACCCCCCUGAAAUGGACAAAAAUGAAUGGGAUGUUAUUGGCACCGUAUGAAACAUAUAAACGAUGUACA
ensembl:lncRNA